rnacentral:lncRNA from 10 species
AGCCAACCGGGCCACGGCCGUAGACCCAGGCAUCUCUGCACUCUCGGGGGCCUGGGAAGAACCUCCCUGCACCUGCCUGCAGGCUCAAAAGUGCCUACUCCUGCUACCUGGCUUCUCCCUGCUGUCAGUGUCCACUCCAAUCUCAGAGCGAAGUUGAGGCCGAGCCCGGGGACUAUCUCAAUCUGGCCAGGUGUGCCAAUGCCUGUGACAGUGCUGACACGCCAUUUCCCUGCUGCCUCAUCCCCCUCUGGACUUUAGGUACCAACAAGCAUGGGAGGGAGGCUGAAGGGGGUGCUGAAGGCAGCUUAGUGCCUUCUGUCUACCUCAUUCUUCUGGAUGCAGGACAAGAACUCAGGACCUAAUGAAUGGUGGGGCUAAAAGAGCCAUAACACAAACAGGGCUGAAACACGCCCCUUCCUCACUACGUUGUGAGUGACAAAAAGAAAAGAAGAGAGAAGGAGAGAAGAGCUGUGGCCCUUCAGGGAGCCCAGAGCCAGGAGCUUCCCAAGCCAGGGCUUUGACAUUCUUUUUAGGGCUCUGCAAUUCCUGCUAUCUCCAAGCUUCUGGACACCGCUUCGUACCCAGUGUCAGCCAUGGAAGCUGCUUAUGGUAUGCCUGACCCAGCCACAGACUUGCAGGGAGCCAUCGCCUGUGCCAGCACCCAGAGCUGCCGGCCCCACUGCAGCCAGUAUGCCUGGCUGUGCACAGUGGCCAGACCCCACACUCACUCACUCACAAACCCCUCACCACCCUGCUCACCCUUGGCAGGCGUGGGAGCCAGGCCAGUAGUAUGAGCUGAGCACAGCCUGCCAGGCUGAGUGGUCCCAAUGGGCCUGAGAAAAACUCGGGCAAAGGCACCACUGGCCACAGAAGUUUCUGACUGGAAAAGCAACUCAAGGAUCCCAUAACACUACUACACUUGGUUUGUUGUGUACAACAUGAAGUUAAUAAAAAAGAGCUCCAAUCCUGUUUCAGCUGCCAACUCAAAUGCUGCUUUCUACAUGAUAUACCUCCUGCAAUAAAGCUCUAAGAUGGAAGAAAGACUAUGAAAUAAAGAGGCAGUCCUCAUUGUGUCAUCCAGGCUGGAGUACAGCGAUGUGAUCUUGGCUCACAGCAGCCUUAACUUUACAGCAUCCUCAACCUUCCAGAAGCCUCAACCUCCUGGGCUCAAGUGCUCCUCCCACCUCAGCUUCCUGAGUAGCUGGGAUCACAGGCAUGUACUCCCACACCCAACUAAUUUUUGUAUGUUUGGUAAAGAUAGGGUUUCUCCAUGUUUUCCAGGCUGGUCUUGAACUCCUGGGCUCAAGCAGUACCCCUGCCUCAGUCUCCCAAAAUGCUGAGAUUACAAGCAUGAGCAACCACGCCCAGCUAAUUAUUUUUUAAUAGGUAUAUAUUCAUUUUAACUUCUAUUUAUAUUAUGUUUUAUAAUUCUUUAUGAUUUUCAGAUAUCUAAGUCUUAUUAAGGGGUUACAAUGCUUUUACUGAUAUGGAUAGGAGGCAGAGAAAUAUUGGGUAGAAGAGGAUGGGUCCGCAGCAAAGGCCCCACCCACCUCAAUCCUGGAAACCUGCCAUCUUCAAUGGGAACAGCCAUUCCUAUUUUCAUGCCCUAAUGUUACCUUUUCCAAGACUACUCUGACCCGCCAUGCCUCUAUACUGUGCCCAUAUAAACCCCAAGCUCCAUGAGCAGAGGAACAGAGGAGCAGAAGAGUGGCAGAGUCGCAGACUGAAGUGGCAGAGAAGGAAAGAAGAGAAACAGCAUCUGAAUGUUGAGAGGAGUUUGGCUGGAGACAGUCAGAGGGGAGAUCAGCCACAGGACCACCAAACUCCUGGGGAAGAUCAUCUUUGCACUCUAUUCCCUUUCCAGCUCCCCAUCCAUCCUGCUGCACCUCUAUCACUCAGUAAAAUCUCCUCAGUCAACAUCAUUCAAGUCCAAGUGACCUGAUUCAUCCUGGAUGCCAGACAAGGACUCGGGUACCAAGAGGGCAGGGUGUAAAAGGCUGUCACUCUGAUUCUCCACCAAGCUGAUUUGACACUAAACUGUCUGCGGAUGGCAGAGCUAAAAAAGCAUUAAUUUUAACACACCUCUAGAUGCUACCGUGGGGCUGGAGCCCAAGAGUGCUCACCCUAGCUACUGCACCUGCUCAUCUGUGUGCUCCCUAUCCCGUAAGGGGUUUGAGCACACAGAAGCCAAGCAAAGGAGCCGCACUCCUGUCCCAAGUCCCAUGAAGGGGUGAAGGAACUCCCCCAUUUCACUUUGGUACAGAAUCUCGUUUAAAAUAACAUAAAUUACAGGUUAAUUGAUCGACAAAUUAAAAAUUAUAUUAUUUGCUUUGAAAUAAAUGUACCCUUAAACGUAUGUAUACCACUGGUAAUUUUUGAAUAAGCAUUAUACACAAAUAUAACUGACAAACUCAGCAUAUUAAAUAUCAUACAUUGUUUUCUAAAUGGCUAUCAUUUUUAAGUAUUUUUAUUUUCAUGCAUGCAUACUAAUAACAGAUGCAUACAGCCUAUAUUAUGUUUCCAUUCACAAUCACUAUAAAUUCUGAAAAAGUAAAAUAUUAAGCACACAAAACAAUAUUAUCUGAUAAAAAAGUAAGGACUCAACAUUGAGCAAAGUUACAGUACUGUUUUAUUAUUUCUUCUAAGAUGUUUACAAAAGCAAAUGUUUUCAAAACAAAUACUAUUUUAAAUAAAUGCCCUAAAUAUGUCUUACUAC